AAGGGCAUGGCUGGUUGGCUACGUUCGGGAGGGAUAACCGCUGAAAGCAUCUAAGCGGGAAGCCUGCUUCGAGAUGAGUAUUCCCACCUCCUUGAGAGGGUAAGGCUCCCAGUAGACGACUGGGUUGAUAGGCCGGAUAUGGAAGCCCUGUAAGGGGUGGAGUUGACCGGUACUAAUAGGCCGAGGGCUUGUCCUC
rnacentral:rRNA from 1 species